rnacentral:tRNA from 1 species
UCCCAGAUGGUCUGGUGGUUAGGAUUCGGCGCUCUCACCGCCGAGGCCGGGGUUCGAUUCCCCGUCUGGGAG